GAACCUGUUUAAUAAAUACAGAUGCAUUCAAGCAAACCAGCGUCUAGAAAGCAACUCAUUUUACCUUCAUAUUAAAUGCAUAAGAUAAGCCAGGCAGACAGGAUGACAUGGUUUUAAAUACUGUAAAUUCAUUUAGACACAAUCACCAUAUGAAUUUAUUACAGUUUACUAUUUCAGGAAGGCAUCUGCAUCUAAAAAUAAAGUCUUAAAAUACUCUCAGAAAACCAUCUUUCUUUAAACUGGUGAAACUCAGCACGAGUCAGUGGGACUACACCAUUUCAUUAGCCCUAGGAAACAAUGCUCAAUGACAGAAAUUUGAACUAUUGUCAUAAGUCUUCCCAACAGUGUCUCUGUAAAAGGAGCAAAAAACCCACCAUCAUUACUGGUGCAGUAUAUUAUCUUCAGAAUAGAAUAUAUUCAAAUCAGAAUGAACUGUUCUUCCAUAUUAAAGUCAACUGUAACAGAUAAUAACUGUGAUAUGAUUUUUUCUCAGUAAGGUCUACAUAUACAAAGAGAAUCGCAAGGUUUUCUUACAGGCUCGGAAGGUGAAAAGAUAUACCGAUAUCAUUUCUAUUUUGAAUUGGGAAGUAUUUCAAUACUAGAAUAUUUAUUUGUAAACAGAUGAGAGGGUUUCUUUAGGAGGGGGAAUCUUGGGGAGUUAACAUUUUUAAAAUUAGCAGGUACUGUACAAGUCCACUUCUCUCUAAACAAGGUAACUAUAUACUCCAGGCUCUCUAAAUCCAAAACUCACUUUGUACAGACACCUAUACAUCAAACAAUUUUCAAAAUAUUACUCCUAGAGCCAAAUCCCAUACUCCCUUAUUCAGUAAAAUAACAGAGGUUUGCUUGUGUCAAAGAACAUAGAAGUCCCACAGCAAACAACGGCUGUUACGAAACUGAAGUCUAUAAGAAUAAACUCAAUCAGAAAUGAAACAAUUUAAAACAAGACAGGAUGAGGGGCCUCAAAACUGACCUACUCUGAAAGCAGUCCCCUCUACUAGUAUUUAAAUCCUUAUACAAUGGCCGGAAUUACAGCAAAUAACAAACCAUGAUAUGUAUAACUUUCAGCACAAAAAUAAUUGUUAUUUUGGGGGAUAGGGAACUUAAAGGGUUAAUUUAAAUUGUUAUAUCUAAAACUAGGAGCUUAUACUCUAUCCUUAAAUCAUUCAUAGAAACACAAGACUAGAAGGGAUCUUGCGGGUCAAUAUCCUGUCUCCCUACUACUGCAGGCAACUAUGCCAUAGAAUAUUUUGUGUCUGAGGACUGAAAAUUGCAAAUUCUACGUUGGGACCUCUGCAACACAGAAGCAGUGAGAGGAGCAAGACCAACUACUGUAUUUACUGAAAUAUAAAACAAGGUUGCCUCCCCCCAAUCAAUAUAGCACAGGGAACUUCAGCAUCUACCUCCUCUGGUUUACGAAUUCUACCCAGAAGCUUGGCACACACAAGUUAAGUGGUGUGAUGUGUGGUAUCACCACAUCAAUUCCUUUGCAGAUCCGAGCUUGAUCUGUAUGUCUCAUUAAAACACUACUGGACAUAG